rnacentral:sRNA from 1 species
GCUCAGGAGAGGCUGUGGCCCCUCCUUCCACCAGUGCAGGUGAGCCUUUGGGUACUGUGACAGCCAGGGGGUGGCAGGGAUGGAACACUCACUGACUUCUUGUUCCUGCUCUUCAGCAGCCCUUUCUCGGCCCAGUGGAGCAGCUACAACCACAGCUGCUGGCACCAGUGCUGCUGCUGCUUCUGCCACAGCAUCUGGCCCAGGCUCUGGCUCUGCCCCAGAGGCUGGCCCUGCCCCUGGUUUCCCCUUCCCUCCUCCCUGGAUGGGUAUGCCCCUGCCUCCGCCCUUUGCCUUCCCCCCAAUGCCUGUGCCACCUGCGGGCUUUGCGGGGCUGACCCCAGAGGAGCUACGAGCUCUGGAGGGCCAUGAGCGGCAGCACCUGGAGGCCCGGCUGCAGAGCCUGCGUAACAUCCACACACUGCUGGACGCCGCCAUGCUGCAGAUCAACCAGUACCUCACCGUGCUGGCCUCCUUGGGGCUCACCAAGGGCAGGACAAUCUGCCCAACCUAGGAUGCCAAGGCCAGGCCCGCCUCUCGUCCCUUCUCUUCCCAGGCCCCCCCGGCCUGCCACUUCAGUCAGCUCCGCUGAGGAGACU